UUCUGUCUUUAGGCCUAUUUUGUAAACAUGACUCUGUGGGCCCAGUAUAUAAAUAGCCUAUAUUAAAGCAUGUCCGUCAUAAAAUUGCCCUUAUUGCCUCUGCGUGAAAUGCGAUUUUUAUUUGGAUGAAUAUGGCUGUGGUCCAAGAUCACAUUUUAGUUAGAGUUCCUUCCACACCGAGGCCGCCCUCGAGUAGCGGUUCUUCCUCCAACCAGGUGCGCAGGACGCAGGCGUGACAGACACAGAUAGGGUUGGGCAGCCCAUGCUAGAAAUCCACAAUGAGCCUCCCUAAAAGGGUCUCCCUCUGGACCAUGGAGGACGUGUUUGCCCUACCAAAAGAGUGUCUUCCAACUGGCCAUCGUGAAGCAUGACAUAUCCGGCCCACCACUGCUGACGAUGGGUGAGCACCAGUUGGAGAGGAUGGGGGUGAAGGGGGAGCAUCUUCAGGACAUCCUACUGGACAUUCUUCGCCUCAGGGUCCAGGAGAAACUGGAGAACAUCAACAUCUUCUCUAGUGAGGGAUUCUACAGUCUCCUCUUAAAGAGAUAGUUAGACAUUUAGGCAGUUAAGCCAUUUUGUAAUCUUACCCAGAGUUAAAUGAACUCGUGGAUAAGGGAGAGUGGGGUAAUUUGAGUCAAAAGGGUUAGUUGAGCCAUCCUUGUUUCUAGGAAACCAUACACAAAAGUAAUAAUUUGACCAAAAUGUAGGAAGAGGUCAUCAUUUCAUGGAGUCCGAAGGAAGAAAUCACAUGGAAAAAAUGGUAAGCAAAUUAGGUCCAAAAAACGGAUUUUCAACAAGUCAAAUUAAUUUAUUGCGUUAGAUGUUUCAUGAUGCUUGUAUUUAAACUAAAGUAGAUCAUUUUAAGAUCUUCUAUGCAUCAGUUGUGGUCUCUAUAAGCUUCAAUAUGAGGUCCUAAACCCAGCAUGAAAGUGCAUCCUUGUAGCUGUGUGGGAUUAUAGUCAAAAUGUUUUCCUUGGGGUACGUUGUAGCAAUGGUUGUGCCAAUGGCAAGUUUCGAAAAUGGAAGUGUUUUCUUCCCAGGCAUAAUAGAAGGCAUUAUCGCUGGGAUAUGAGGUACCAACAGGGCCUAGCCUAUAUUAAAAGUGCUUUUUUUCAAGUACAAAGGGCUUGGUAUUUGUUAAGCCUGUGUUAAAUGAUCCUUAAAAUUAUUAAAAGACAAAAAUGAUUGUGAUUGUGUUCAAUUGUGUUUGGGGAAAUAAAUAUAGACAUGGUUUUAAAAAGGUAGUGGUAAUAUUUCAUUCAGUACAGAAGUUUGUAACUUAACCUAUCCCGUGGCUCAACUUAACCCAUAACGAGUAAGCUGUGCCAAGAGACCACUUUUUUUGGACAAGCUAUGUUUUCAAAACUGUAAUGUUCAAAUGAAUUCUGAUUAUUUCCAGGGAUACACCACAUCCUGAAUAUAUAUAUAUAUAUAUAGAUACAGUGUCUUUGUUAGAAAGAAUACUAUAUCUCUGUUGAUGGAGUGAUGCUGAAGGUAAAAAAUGUCUCUACUUACUCCACUCUACCAUUUUUACAUCUGAGUGCAGUUUGAAGGAAGUUGAAGGUCGUUUCUGGAUACAUUGCUAACUAGCAUUAGAGCAAUGACUGGUUCUCUACUGGUGCAGCUAGAAGGAUUUCAUCUGACUCUGAGUAAGUAGAAAAAAAGGGUUUGAUUGCCAGAAUGACAAACUAUCCCUUUAAACUGUAUCAGGAAUACAGUUGUAGCCUAUAUCAACGGCAUCUUCUUUGAUGAAGAAGUAACUACUGUAUUGUCUAAAACUGUAUCAUAAAGGGACAGACAUAUACUGUGUCCUCUUAGAUUGCAGAAAAAAAUUCACUUGUAGCCUAUAUCAGUUGGCUCACAUAAACUCAGACAGUGCAAAUACUGCGAGAGAGUCAUACAAGGUUCCAUCAUCAGCCAACAUGAUUGACAGACAUGUAUUUCAUCAAGAGGGUUAGCCUAGAGAUACAUAUCCCCUGCCAAGAAUAGAUUGACAUCGAAAGAGAAGAGAAAGCCUCUGAUGGAUUAUUCAACAGAACUGAAAAGAAAAGACAGAACAAGUUACGCUAUUUGGCAUGGAUACAUAAAACAAGUUCAAGUUCAAUACUACAGAUAAAAUACACCAGGGUUUUUGUUCACAGUGGGGUAUGCUUGCAUUUAAAAUGUAUUUUUAACCAAAGGUUUCUUUAGCGCUUUCUCUUUUGAGUGUUUCUCUUCAUGACUAGGAGAAGAUGUCUCUGAUAUUCUUAUGUUCCCCUUCUACGAUGUGGAGGUCUAGAGAAGACAAAAGCAUUUGCUUUCAGGAAUCAUUGACCUGAAGAAAAAAGGCCAGAUUGGUUUUGGCACAGUGGUAUUUUCACAGACACUUCUGUGAAUCAAGUCCUUGCCUCUCGCUCUGUGCUGCUCUUGCAGUCUUGUUUUUUUUUACAAUACUCAAUACACUAUGUGGCAGUUAUUGUAGAGGGAGAAUAUAAUUCCCCAUUGAACAAGGGGAUACAAUGCAUCCCUCAUCUGGACUAAAUGUUGCAAUCCCAUACCCAGCAGUGAUUUGGCUAGCUAAUGGCCUGUUAUAUUACUCUCAGGAGAUCCAGUGUGAAUUAGUAGGGAAAGUAAGUCAAUUAGUCUCGAGUUAAAUGUAGGGACACAUGGCCAUCAUUUAGAUAACAUCCCAAAUGCUGCUCCAAGCUAUUAGGUCUUUCACAGGGAAGGUAAUGGGGGAUCAUUUAAUGGGAGGUUUCCGGCAGAGACAAAAUGUCUAAUGUAUUUGCUUAUAAGUUCGAUGCUGGAGCAAAAAUUUUGUGUCUUCUGACUGACAUCGGCGUCGUCAUCUUUAUUUGUCUUUUGUUGCUCCGAACCUCACGCUUGCUUGUAAGAUGUCGGCUGUGUUUUUCUGUCGAUCACAUACGAUCACUGACACAUCUUGGAAUGAAACACAACUAUACAUAGAAACCGUCCAGACAGAGAUGUAUGUAUAGGCAGAGAUUUCCUCUUUUAUUUGGUGCCGAAUCAUAUUCAUAUUACUGUAAC